ACCCACUACGUGCAUGGAGUAUAUUGCUGUUGCACAAACAAGUUGUUUAUCAAAUACAAAAUUUCAUUUUACAGCCAGAUGCAACAAUCUCACAAUGAUGGGCUUGCAAAGACUAUUUGACAUUUUGAAAUCGGUGGUGGAUGUGAAGAUGUGAAGUCAUCCCCUGAGGACAAAGUGCUAUUUUUAGUUGUUCUCUUCCACUCCAGAUGGCUCAAAAGUCUCAACACUCUUUAUGUCAUUGCUAUGCUCACCAGUAGAAGCUUCCCAAUUCCCUUUUGUACAUCAAGAAUUUUAUAUUGUCUUAUGUCGAGACAAUGGUUUCUAAAAUACAGAAAGAUGUAAAUCUUGCUACUAGCACAAAAUUGCUUAAGCCUUGUUCCUUGAAGGAUCAAAGUCAGUCUUGAGGCUCUCCCAUAUCAGUACCAGACUAGUAGAUUUUCACGCCCAACAAGAAGGUUUCCAACACAAAAUAUGCAACACAUUUGCGGCUUCUAACAACAGUAGACCAGGCAAUUGCUCCACAUGAUUCAAUUUACUGGCUUGGUUUGAUAUGGGUUCUUCCAAAAAUAUCACUUAAUUUUUUUUUUCUCUUGUUGUACUCUCCAAUGCUAUCAUGUAUUUAGCUUCAUGGGUUUCUUUUAGUUUUUAUUAAAGCAUAGGAAAGCCUAAUGUUUCCUUUGAAAUUAAUACGAGUUGAAGAUUUAAAAAUACUAUGUGGUUUGAAGGCAUAGCUAUAGGGAAGUGCCAAUUUUCUUA